AUUUUUAAGCUGAGCACCAGGUUCAGUGCACUAAACAUAACUCUUGGCACAUAGGCUCUGACUUUACUUGAUCAAUUCUGCACCAUAUGGCAUACAAUAAAACACCGAAUGCUAUAGUUAUGCCCUGAAUUAAGACAAGAGGUCUCAAGAAUAUCUCUUACACUUCACUAAAUUUUCUUGUGGUCCAGCAUUGUUCCAUUGUUUUAUUCUGUUCUGUAUUAUGAGCCAAUAUAUGUACUUACCUUUCUGACCUCUGAAGAAGACCAAUCUAGGUCAAAACGCAUCAGGUCAAGUUGAGUGGGUUCCCAUUGUGGUUUUAUGAUUUUAUAUAGGAUAGAGGCUUAUGAUGGGCCCUUAAAUGGUUUUAGCUUUCUACAAUAAAUACAUGUAUGUUGAUUUAUGA